rnacentral:rRNA from 1 species
UACGGAGGAUUCAAGCGUUAUCCGGAUUUAUUGGGUUUAAAGGGUGCGUAGGCGGCCUGUUAAGUCAGGGGUGAAAGACGGUAGCUUAACUAUCGCAGUGCCCUUGAUACUGAUGGGCUUGAAUAUACUUGAGGUAGGCGGAAUGUGACAAGUAGCGGUGAAAUGCAUAGAUAUGUCACAGAACACCAAUUGCGAAGGCGGCUUACUAAGGUAUGAUUGACGCUGAGGCACGAAAGCGUGGGGAUCAAACAGG